rnacentral:rRNA from 1 species
GACGAACGCUGGCGGCGUGCUUAACACAUGCAAGUCGAACGGUGAAGCUCCAGCUUUCUGGAUUUGAUCAUUGGCGAACGGGUGAGUAACACGUGAGCAACCUGCCCCUGACUCUGGAAUAAGCGCUGGAAACGGCGGCUAAUACUGGAUAUGAUAAGUUUCCGCAUGGGGACUUUCUGUAAAGUUUUUCGGUUGGGGAUGGUCUCGCUGCCUAUCAGCUUGUUGGUGAGGUAAUGGCUCACCAAGGCUACGACGGGUAGCCGGCAUGAGAGGGCGACCGGCCACCAUGGGACUGAGACAGGGAGCAGAAUGCAACGGGAGGCAGCAGUGGGGAAUAUUGCACAGUGGGGGAAAGCCUGAUGCAGAGACGUCGCGUGAGGGAUGCCGGCCUUCGGGUUGUAAACAUAUUUCAGCAGGGAAGAAGAGAAAGUGGCGGUACCUGCAGAAGAAGCCACGGCUAACUACGUG